rnacentral:rRNA from 1 species
UAGGGAAUCUUCCACAAUGGACGCAAGUCUGAUGGAGCAAGCCGCGUGAGUGAAGAAGGUCUUCGGAUCGUAAAACUCUGUUGUUAGAGAAGAACACGAGUGAGAGUAACUGUUCAUUCGAUGACGGUAUCUAACCAGCAAGUCACGGCUAACUACGUGCCAG